CACGUAGGGUGCGAGCGUUGUCCGGAAUUAUUGGGCGUAAAGAGCUCGUAGGCGGUGUGUCGCGUCGGCCGUGAAAACCUGCAGCUUAACUGUGGGCGUGCGGUCGAUACGGGCAUCACUGGAGUUCGGCAGGGGAGACUGGAAUUCCUGGUGUAGCGGUGGAAUGCGCAGAUAUCAGGAGGAACACCAAGUAGGCGAAGGCAGGCUCGCUGGGAC
rnacentral:rRNA from 1 species